rfam:Triticum aestivum genome assembly, contig: Triticum_aestivum_CS42_TGACv1_scaffold_113688_2AS
AUAGUACUUCCUCCGUUUCGAAUUACUUGUCGCAGGUAUGGAUGUAUCUAGAUAUACUCUAGUUCUAGAUACGUCCAUUUCUGCGACGAGUAAUUUGAAACAGAGGGAGUAGUUC